UACGUAGGGUGCAAGCGUUGUCCGGAAUUAUUGGGCGUAAAGAGCGUGUAGGCGGCCAGAUAGGUCAGCUGUGAAAACUCGAGGCUCAACCUCGAGACGUCGGUUGAAACCAUCUGGCUAGAGUCCGGAAGAGGAGAGUGGAAUUCCCGGUGUAGCGGUGAAAUGCGCAGAUAUCGGGAAGAACACCCGUGGCGAAGGCGGGUCUCUGGGCAACACUGACGCUGAGGAGCGAAAGCGUGGGGAGCGAACAGG
rnacentral:rRNA from 1 species